rnacentral:rRNA from 1 species
CCUACGGGAGGCAGCAGUGGGGAAUUUUGGACAAUGGGGGCAACCCUGAUCCAGCCAUGCCGCGUGAGUGAAGAAGGCCUUCGGGUUGUAAAGCUCUUUCGGACGGAAAGAAAUUGCCAUCUCUAACAUAGGUGGUGGAUGACGGUACCGUAAGAAGAAGCACCGGCUAACUACGUGCCAGCAGCCGCGGUAAUACGUAGGGUGCGAGCGUUAAUCGGAAUUACUGGGCGUAAAGCGUGCGCAGGCGGUUUGGUAAGACAGGGGUAAAAUCCCCGGGCUAAACCGGGGAACGGCCUUUGAGACUGCAGGGCUAGAGGGCGGCAGAGGGGGGUAGAAUUCCACGUGUAGAGGUAAAAUGCGUAGAGAUGGGGAGGAAGACCGAUGGCGAAGGCGGCCCCCUGGGUCGAAAC